rnacentral:rRNA from 1 species
AGUGAACGCUGGCGGUAGGCCUAACACAUGCAAGUCGAACGGCAGCACAGUAAGAGCUUGCUCUUACGGGUGGCGAGUGGCGGACGGGUGAGGAAUACAUCGGAAUCUACUUUUUCGUGGGGGAUAACGUAGGGAAACUUACGCUAAUACCGCAUACGACCUACGGGUGAAAGCAGGGGAUCUUCGGACCUUGCGCGAUUGAAUGAGCCGAUGUCGGAUUAGCUAGUUGGCGGGGUAAGGGCCCACCAAGGCGACGAUCCGUAGCUGGUCUGAGAGGAUGAUCAGCCACACUGGAACUGAGACCCGGUCCAGACUCCUACGGGAGGCAGCAGUGGGGAAUAUUGGACAAUGGGCGCAAGCCUGAUCCAGCCAUACCGCGUGGGUGAAGAAGGCCUUCGGGUUGUAAAGCCCUUUUGUUGGGAAAGAAAAGCAGCAGGUUAAUACCCCGCUGUUCUGACGGUACCCAAAGAAUAAGCACCGGCUAACUUCGUG